UACGAGGGGGGCGAGCGUUGUUCGGAAUUACUGGGCGUAAAGCGUGCGUAGGCGGUUUGUUAAGUCUGUCGUGAAAGCCCCGGGCUCAACCUGGGAAUGGCGAUGGAAACUGGCGAGCUAGAGUACGGUAGAGGAGAGUGGAAUUCCCGGUGUAGCAGUGAAAUGCGUAGAGAUCGGGAGGAACAUCAGUUGCGAAGGCGGCUCUCUGGACCAGUACUGACGCUGAGGCACGAAAGCGUGGGGAGCAAACAGG
rnacentral:rRNA from 1 species